rnacentral:rRNA from 1 species
AUCUGUGGCCAUACCACCGGGUAAAUGCCUGAUCUUCUUUGAUCUCAACAAAAUAAGCAGAUUUGGGCCUAGCUGGACAGGAGACUUCUUGGGAAUACUAGGUGAUAAAGGCU